CGGCUUGGCGGAGCUACACAUGCAGUCGAGCGGAACGAUCCUAGCUUGCUAGGAGGCGUCGAGCGGCGGACGGGUGAGUAAUGCAUAGGAAUCUACCCGGUAGUGGGGGAUAACCUGGGGAAACCCAGGCUAAUACCGCAUACGUCCUACGGGAGAAAGCAGGGGAUCUUCGGACCUUGCGCUAUCGGAUGAGCCUAUGUCGGAUUAGCUAGUUGGUGAGGUAACGGCUCACCAAGGCUGCGAUCCGUAGCUGGUCUGAGAGGAUGAUCAGCCACAUCGGGACUGAGACACGGCCCGAACUCCUACGGGAGGCAGCAGUGGGGAAUAUUGGACAAUGGGCGAAAGCCUGAUCCAGCCAUGCCGCGUGUGUGAAGAAGGCCUUCGGGUUGUAAAGCACUUUCAGUGAGGAAGAAAGCCUUGAGGCUAAUACCCUCGAGGGAGGACAUCACUCACAGAAGAAGCACCGGCUAACUCCGUGCCAGCAGCCGCGGUAAUACGGAGGGUGCGAGCGUUAAUCGGAAUUACUGGGCGUAAAGCGCGCGUAGGCGGCUUGAUAAGCCGGUUGUGAAAGCCCCGGGCUCAACCUGGGAACGGCAUCCGGAACUGUCAGGCUAGAGUGCAGGAGAGGAAGGUAGAAUUCCCGGUGUAGCGGUGAAAUGCGUAGAGAUCGGGAGGAAUACCAGUGGCGAAGGCGGCCUUCUGGACUGACACUGACGCUGAGGUGCGAAAGCGUGGGUAGCAAACAGGAUUAGAUACCCUGGUAGUCCACGCCGUAAACGAUGUCGACUAGCCGUUGGGCUCCUUGAGAGCUUUGUGGCGCAGUUAACGCGAUAAGUCGACCGCCUGGGGAGUACGGCCGCAAGGUUAAAACUCAAAUGAAUUGACGGGGGCCCGCACAAGCGGUGGAGCAUGUGGUUUAAUUCGAUGCAACGCGAAGAACCUUACCUACCCUUGACAUCGAGAGAACUUUCCAGAGAUGGAUUGGUGCCUUCGGGAACUCUCAGACAGGUGCUGCAUGGCUGUCGUCAGCUCGUGUUGUGAAAUGUGGGUAGUCCCGUACGAGCGCACCCUUGUCCCUAUUGCAGCGAUCGGUCGGGACCUCUAGGAGACUGCGUGACAACCGAGAGGUGGGACGACGUCAGUCAUCAUGCCCUACGGUAGCUACCACCGUGCUACAUGCCCGUCAAUGAUGCUAAUCCGCGAGUGACUAAUCCAUUAAGCCGGUCUCUCAGUUCCG
rnacentral:rRNA from 1 species